rnacentral:lncRNA from 1 species
AAGUAUCAUCUUUUAUGGAUGAGGUCAACUUUAACAUAUCAACUUCUUACAAUAAUAUCUGCUUUCUUUGUUUCUCUUACUGAUUAUUCAAGAGAAUUUUUAGCCUUCUGAUGUUUUUCUUGACCACGUUUUUAUGCUAUCUUGUGCUUUAUGAAAGCAGGUCAAUCAACCAGUUCUUACUUAUCCUGGUGCAUAUAGAAAAGUUACUGUUGAGCUGAAGGUUUAAAUUUCCAUCAAUUUUCUGAGUUACUUCUUUCCUUUGUCUGGUAAAUUUUUUUCCAAUACACAGAUAAUACUAUUACACUGUUGCUAAAAGAUUCUUCUUAUUUCUGAUAUUGUUAUCAGAUUCAUCAUCUGGCUGUUGAUGCUCUACUGAAAAGCAACCAAGUAAACGAAAUGGAAGGAGGCACUCUGUUUGGAUUGGACCAGGACUUGAACCCUACGACGAAUUUUACUAAUGAACAGUACUUCUUUGAUGCAACAACAUCCUGUGCACCAGCAUUUCGUGUACUUAAGCAGUUGAUUCAAAGGUGCCUUACAGAUGCAGUAACAUCAGGAAACAUAUUUGCUGAUGCAAUGCUGCAACAUUUGUACCGAUGGCUCUGCAGGUUGGCUUGCUUCUUUCAGUUUUGUUCACAAUUAUAUUUGAUUGCUAAUGCUACAUUGUCCUUCUAACUAUUGCAGCCCCCGAUCUAGACUGCAUGACCCAGCGCUUCACAGUAUGCUUCACAAGGUAAUUUAUUGAAUAAGAAACUUCUGGGUUGUCUAAAAAGAACAUAAAGAGUUCUAUUUGGAAGUCGAGAUGCAUGACGUGCCUUCGUGCUAUUAGUACUGGGACAUUGAUAUCAUUUAUUUUCUCUGGAAUGUGUCUCAGCAUGCUACUUCAUUCACGCGUGGUUUCUCCAUUUCUUCUUGCAUUCAUCAAAACUGAUGCUUUAAUAUUUUCAUAAUUGGCAGGUUAUGCAAAAGAUGUUUGCAUUGCUUGUGGCUGAACUCCGAAAAUUGGGUGCUGCUAUUGUGUUUGCCAACUUCUCAAAAAUCAUAAUUGACACUGGGAAGUCAGAUAUUUUUGCUGCCAAAGCCUACUGUGAUAAUGUUAUUAAAAAUGUACAAUCAAGGUCAGUCUCUUGAAUCAGAAGUUGUUUACUCAACAUAUAUAUAUAUAUAUAUUUUUAUUUUUUAUUUUUUUUGGUCUUUCUUCCCUUACUCUUAUCUAUCUGCAGAGAAUUGUUUGAGUGGAUUGAACUUGAGCCGUUGCAGUUUUGGCACUCGUUGCUUUUCAUGGAUCAGGUUAGCUGUGGCAGUUGACUUGAUUUGUUCUUGUUAUUAACAUUUUAGCUUUGUGUUCUGUCUUUUCCUUCAUUUCUCCAAGAAACAAAUUUAUGCAUUUAAAAUCACAAAAAGAUCCUUUUGUUGUAUUUAAGUCAAUGCUAAUACAUGCAUUGAGAAUUUUAGAUAGGAGCUGAUCAGUUUGAGUCUCUAGCUGUAUCCUAAUGGUUCACAUUUUCUUCGAAUCAUUAAUUUACUUGAAUCCCUGUUUUGAGUUCACGGUGAUGACUAUGUUGCCCACUAGAAAUCUUGGCAGUAUUUUCAUGCUAUCAAUGCCCUAGCCAGCUUUCUUUGUUCUGGGAAAUGAUUUGUAUUACCUUUUCAACCCAAAUGAUUUUUAGAUAUGAUAAUCUAACUGAAAUUGCAACGCAUCAAAUCAGUAGGUAAAAUCCAUUUGUAAAUAGGAUAGAAAAAAAUGGAUGCUGCUUGCUUCAUGGGGUAGUCCAUUAUUCUGGGUAAAGAGUUCGUAAGCUAACUUUCGUUUGAUGGUUCUGACAACAGAUAUGUUCUUUCUAUCCUCAUUUAUUAAAGUUCCGUCUUACAAUUUUCCUUUUAUGAUAGUACAAUUAUGGUGGAAUUCGAGCUAGACAUAGUGAUGAACCUUUAGAAGUUAACUCAGAACCAGGUGAAGAAAGUGUGUGUGGUGAAUCUCAAAUCGAUAUCGUGUCAAGCUGGAACAUUGCAGAAAAUUUACCGAAGGCAACUCAGGUAUUUCCCCAGCUAGAAACUGUACAGGAACAUUGCUUUUAUUAUAUGAAUGAAGGUGCAACAAGAUACAAGUGGACACCCCGAUCUUGAAAUACCAGUUAACUAGUUUGCACCAUAUUGCAACAGAACACAGUUGAUCCUCGGUCUCCUUGAUAAAAUAUUCUGCCUUAUUAUUCUAUGCUGGUCUUUCAUGUAGGAUCGCUUCAUUUUGAUUGUUUCGGAGUUUAUGUAUGGUCCAUGGAAAUAUGCACAAGAACAAGCUACACAUCGAGUAUCUACUAGCGAUGGUGAUUUAUGUACACCAUCAAUCACUGCUGCACUUGCUGAAACAUUUGAUUUGCAAAUGGCAGAAGAUCUAAAGAAGAAGGUAUCUGCUAGGACUCAUUCAUAGGCAUCCCUUGUCUUCGUCAAUUUUGUGCUGAGUUCUUUAAUGCGUGAGAACUUAACUUUAGAAAAUUCUGCCUGCAGAUUGGAACUUACUUCACUGACAAACUUCUGAAAAUUGUUUGUGACCCUAAUCUUCAAAUGAAAGUGAUGAACAACUCUCAGAAGAUCCAGGAGACACCAGAUGCAAACUCACAAUCUAUUAGCCAUGUCCAAAAGGGGGAUCCAGCUUUAGAGUUCAUUAAACAUGUCUGUGCAGUUUUGGCCCUUGACCAGAAUGUGCAGCAUGAAGUUCUGGUAUUAAAUGUUUUUCUAGCUUCCCUUACUAAUGAACAAAAUAUGUAUUAGUAAAACCUAUUGACAUCGUUUUUUCCGUCCGGCACUGAAAGUGUAGUCUAGCGUACAGAGGGACCCCGGUUGCUGUAUAGUAACCACACGUACAUCGAUUGCUUAGUCUUAUGUCUCCCAUCCAAUAAGUCUCAUGAAGGCUCUGCAUAACACAUAAUGCUAAAUUAUUUAAUGAUACCUAUUGAAAUGUGGUGUUUUAAAGUAGCGUGUGACAGUAUAUAUGUUGGAUUUCACUAGUAUUGAUUCUUCUGCAACAAUAACAUUUAAUUGCAGCUCGCCAUUAAUUAGUUUUAUUGGUUCUUAUUAUGCAGAUCAUGAGGAAAAAUUUAUUAAAACUUGUUCGUGUGAGGGAAUUUGCUCCGGAGGCAGAAUUUCGUAGUCUUUCUGUAUCAUAUACCCUUCCAAAUGUCAUUUGCAGGUAAAUGUAGGGGAAAUAGGAGUUACUUUCACCUGAAACAUGAGCAGGUGGGAGUAUCUGCCACUGCUGGGUUUUGUCUUCUGUAGAAUAUCCAGGAUAUUAGUUGCUUUCUAAUUUCCAUGAUCUGUUGCUUUCAGUUACUGCAAUGACUGCAGAGACCUUGACUUGUGUCGAGACAGAGCUUUGAUUUCUCAGGAGUGGCGUUGUACUGUGCCCCAGUGUGGGCAACCUUAUGAUCGUGAAGCAAUGGAAAAUGCUCUUGUUCAAAUUGUUCGGCAGAGAGAGAGGCUAUACCAUCUUCAGGAUCUAGUAUGCCUAAAAUGCCACCAGAUUAAAGCUGCACAUUUAUCAGAUCACUGUGCUUGUGCCGGAUCAUUUAGCUGCAAGGAAGAUGUCUCAGAUUUCCGCAAUAAAAUGCAAGUCUUCUUGAACAUAGCCGUAAAUCAAAAGUUUCAAUUGCUCCAAGAAUGCACUUCUUGGAUUUUGGAAGCCAGAUAACUACAUAAGUGCACCUCAUUAUCAGUGACAAAUCGUUUGAGCACUUAACAUUUGCUGGCUGCUCUGCAUGGUGCAAGGCUGCCUCAUGGCGUCCAAAACAAGAUUUACUUUUUAUUGAUACACAAUUACGUCCAGGUAUUUGAGGAGUCCAUGAAAUGAGAGCUGAUCUGUUUUAGAAAUUCAGCUGUCUGCAUGGGCUUACGUAAAAGUUCCCUCGAGGAGUGCCAGUUAUCUAUACAGCUGCACCCUUUCUUCGGAGAGGAAAAAAAAGGAUUCGUAUUGCAUCCGCUAUACCCAUCCUUAGUUCCAGAUUUGCUGGUUUGGUGGAGAACUGAUUGCUAUAUACAGAGAGCACGCAGAUAAUUACUAAUAUGUGGCCACCAAUUCAACAUCUUAACAAGAUUUUCUGUAUCAUGCACUAGAAAUGAUCGUCUAUUUUUUUAAUUUAUGCUACAAGAGUUGAGCUGUAUGAUGUACAUAUUGCAAUAACAGUGAAAUGUACAUAGUCAUCUUUCUUUUAUACUUUGAUUAGUAAACGACGAUGAAGUUAACUGUAUCAAACCUUGUUGGUUGUUAAAAUUAGGUGUAAGUUGCGUAGUUUCAGAAUCAAACCAAACAAUUGGUGAGAUUUCGAUACUCAUGUGGCUCUAAUCUAUAUUUAGUUUAUGGAACGACUCACUAAUCUAUAUCUUCAUGCACUACUGGGCUCUAGACCUCUAGUUUGAACCCUGUCUCAUACAAGAUUACAGUACAGUGGACUGAUUAUCUUGUCACAAUUUUGAUUUGUAUCUGUUGUGACAUUGUUACAUCACAAU